rnacentral:tRNA from 1 species
GGUAGCGUGGCUGAGUGGUCUAUGGUGCUGGAUUAAGGCUCCAGUUUCUUCAAAGGCGUGGGUUUGAAUCCUACCCCUGUCA